AUAGGGAACCAGCGCUGGAGUUUCCGGCCGCCCUGGCGGUCAAAGCGCGCACUUCUCAGCCGCUCCCGCGGACGACACGCACAAGGAUGGCUACUAGCGAAGGCGGUGCAGGCAGUGAACGCCGAACAAAACAAAAAGGAGGCCGACGGUACUGCAGCGUAUAUAAGUGUCAUAACUAUGUAGGAAUGAGAGGUGAUAUAUCUUUCUACGUCUUUCCUGCGAAACCAUACGAGCAAGAACGGAGGCAACGUUGGAUACAAGCUGUCAGGCGAGCGGGUGAAGACGGCCAGGUAUGGGAGCCAGGACCAAACAGCAGAGUCUGUAGUCAACAUUUCGUGGGAAACAAGAUGAGCAAUAUUAUGCACCAUCCGGCAUAUGUGCCAACAAUUUUCCCGUCGGAAUAUUACCGCCAAGCUCCUGCUGACUCCACCGCGUCCGGUGAACGCUUCGAUAGGUGGGCAGAACGCCAUCGACGCAGCGCGGACUCAUCAAUGAAUGCUUUUCAGUCACUACAACCAGCCACGAAUGCAAACACACAGCCAGAAAAUGACGAGGGCCAGGAUGUUUGCUCCCAGAGCCACUGUGGUGUUGACUCACAUGAUAAUGCAAGCUUAUUUCCAUUCAUUGGAAUACAAAUUACAUUGUGUAGUAUCUCCUUAUCUGCGUGAACUAGUGUGUAAAGUGUUUUUAUCUCCCUUAUGCAGGCAGAACAUGAACCUGCUGUGAACAACUGUAAUCAGGAGCAGUCUGUUCAAGAAGUACAUCUACACAGUGUAAAUGGCCUUGGCGUUGAAGAAACUGAUCUCAAGCGACUGGACCUGACAAACGAGCAACCUUGCCAGAAUGCACCGGCCACACCUGCAAUUUCGUCGUCACAGAUGUGCCCGCUCGUUCAUCGUGCUGUAGGACAGGAUACAAGAUCUUGUUUCUUUGGGGGUUAUGAUAC